ACGUGGCUUAUAAUUUGUUGUUUUAAAUCUAGUUUGGUCUAAUAUUAACUAUUUACAACACAAGAAUGAGAAAUUGGAACAGUAAUGGGUGGACACUGGACAAACAUAAUCACUAAACACGCACAACGAAAAGGAAAGUUCGUACCGCCCGCGCCGUUGGAUAACCUUAGUUGCAGAUCGUGGUGCAUAAACCUCAGCGCCCUAAAAGGAGGCGGAAGAUUAUUCCAACAGCGGGAGGCAGCGUACUUAAACGAGCCACGGAAUGCUGAAGUCCUGUGCCGUGGUGUUGUGAUUUGAUACUGGGAGGCUCUGGUUCGUUUACUAAAGUCACUGGCCCAAGAGAGUUUCUCAUAUAGAUAAGAAGGUGUACGAGUGAUUAUGAUGUCGAAAAGCAGUGACGCAAAGUGUAGUUUCCUGCGCUCCUUCAUCUUGAGAAGGUUCGCAUCAUUAAUAAAAGGUGUCACAUGAGCGCGAGAAGGAACUGUAAAACAAAAGCGUACACAAGCAUUCUGGACUCUCUGCACUAGCUUUUCAGUUCUGGCAAAGUUACAUAGACCCAAAGACACGAAAAAUAUCUGACUCGGUGCGAAAGUGAUGAACUGGCCCUCCAUCAGAUUGUCGAGCAUAGACGCGGCCACGCCUGGUCCACGAGUGACGCCAUUUCUUUGCAUUACAUGCCUCGCGCACCCGGCGGUACAACAAACGAUUGUGACGUGUGAGCCUCUCGUUGACAAAGACACGCGCCCCACCGUCCGAAGCGAGGCCUCGACGAAC